GGGGUUGUGGCUCAGUGGUAGAGCGUUUGCCUGGCAUGUAUGAGGCGCUGGGUUCAAUUCUCAGCACCA
rnacentral:tRNA from 1 species